rnacentral:rRNA from 1 species
UUCCAGACUCCUACGGGAGGCAGCAGUGAGGAAUAUUGGUCAAUGGGCUUACGCCUGAACCAGCCAAGUCGCGUGAGGGAAGACUGCCCUAUGGGUUGUAAACCUCUUUUGUCAGGGAGCAAUUGGCGCUACGUGUAGCGUUAUCGAGAGUACCUGAAGAAAAAGCAUCGGCUAACUCCGUGCCAGCAGCCGCGGUAAUACGGAGGGUGCAAGCGUUGUCCGGAAUCAUUGGGCGUAAAGAGUUCGUAGGCGGUAUGUUAAGUCUGGUGUUAAAUGCAGAAGCUCAACUUCUGUUCGGCACUGGAUACUGGCAAACUAGAAUGCGGUAGAGGUAAAGGGAAUUCCUGGUGUAGCGGUGAAAUGCUUAGAUAUCAGGAGGAACAUCGGUGGCGUAAGCGCUUUACUGGGCCGUAAUUGACGCUGAGGAGCGAAAGCCAGGGUAGCAAAUGGGAUUAGAUACCCCGGUA